UCCACCCGAGACUCAGUGAAAUUGAACUCGCUGUGAAGAUGCAGUGUACCCGCGGCAAGACGGAAAGACCCCGUGAACCUUUACUAUAGCUUGACACUGAACAUUGAGCCUUGAUGUGUAGGAUAGGUGGGAGGCUUUGAAGUGUGGACGCCAGUCUGCAUGGAGCCGACCUUGAAAUACCACCCUUUAAUGUUUGAUGUUCUAACGUUGACCCGUAAUCCGGGUUGCGGACAGUGUCUGGUGGGUAGUUUGACUGGGGCGGUCUCCUCCUAAAGAGUAACGGAGGAGCACGAAGGUUGGCUAAUCCUGGUCGGACAUCAGGAGGUUAGUGCAAUGGCAUAAGCCAGCUUGACUGCGAGCGUGACGGCGCGAGCAGGUGCGAAAGCAGGUCAUAGUGAUCCGGUGGUUCUGAAUGGAAGGGCCAUCGCUCAACGGAUAAAAGGUACUCCGGGGAUAACAGGCUGAUACCGCCCAAGAGUUCAUAUCGACGGCGGUGUUUGGCACCUCGAUGUCGGCUCAUCACAUCCUGGGGCUGAAGUAGGUCCCAAGGGUAUGGCUGUUCGCCAUUUAAAGUGGUACGCGAGCUGGGUUUAGAACGUCGUGAGACAGUUCGGUCCCUAUCUGCCGUGGGCGCUGGAGAACUGAGGGGGGCUGCUCCUAGUACGAGAGGACCGGAGUGGACGCAUCACUGGUGUUCGGGUUGUCAUGCCAAUGGCACUGCCCGGUAGCUAAAUGCGGAAGAGAUAAGUGCUGAAAGCAUCUAAGCACGAAACUUGCCCCGAGAUGAGUUCUCCCUGACUCCUUGAGAGUCCUGAAGGAACGUUGAAGACGACGACGUUGAUAGGCCGGGUGUGUAAGCGCAGCGAUGCGUUGAGCUAACCGGUACUAAUGAACCGUGAGG
rnacentral:rRNA from 1 species